ensembl:snRNA U6 U6 spliceosomal RNA
GUGCUGACUUCAGCAUCACAUAUACUAAAAUUGGAAUGAUAAAGAGAUUAGUAGGGCCCCUGUGCAAGGAUGACAUGAAAAUCUGUGAAGUGUUCCAUAUUUUU